AGCGGGGCUCGGAUGGGAGCGGCCCGCGCCAGAUCCGAGGGCGAUUGCCUCUCCAGCCUGCGGAGGGUACGGCCGCGAGUGCCUCCAAAUCACUAGGGGACUCUGAACGUGUUGCUCCCGUCAACUCGCUCAACAUGAUUCAUUUAUUCACUUAGAUAAACCACCACCGCCACACCAACCUGCCACUUGAUGCGCACUUAAAAGGACAGGGGAGCGCGGGCCAGGCAGACCCUCCGCCGGACAGGACUCGGGGAGAAACGUGUUUUAAAAUCCAAGCUCUUGAGCUUCUAACCAGGGAGCGCGCGCGAGUGUGUGAAGAGGCUGAGAACCUCGGUUUUCAGAGACUCUAGAAUAAACUUCUCGCCCCCCUCUCCUCCCGAGGACAGUCGGGACUGUGGGUGAUCGAGUCUCAUUGGGUCGGGUCGGCCUUCUAAGUUGGCGGGGCCCUGCGGGACCGGUCUGCUUGACCCGACCGCGCUCGCAUUGGAGAGCCGAGGCUCGAUCGGUCUGCCGGGCUGCAUAACCCCCGCCCCGCAGCAGCGGCGUCCCUCGCGCGCCGCCGCGUUUCCCGCGCUCUCGGCCCGUACUUCCCGGCGCGGCCUACAAGGCCCCGCGCGGCCCCGCCUCCGGGUCCCGCUCGGUCUCCGGCUGCGAGAGGGAAGGCGGAGGUUAUCCGCCGAGGGACAAGCGGCGCGGACCGAGGUUCCUGAGCAGAAGGGAAAAUGAGCUUAAACAUGAGGCUUGGAGGAGAAAGAAGGGCUGGGGAGAAAUAUGCAGCUGCCAAAGGUCAUCUGACAUAAUAGCUGAUGAAUUCAAGCCCAGUGGAUUUCAUUUGCAAUUUUCAAUUUACUGAGGCCUCCAAACCCCACGGUGAUAAAAGCUUCCCCUAUCGUGGCCUGUCACAAACAUCAAGAAACUGCACAAACCCACAAGAAAGAAAAAAGAGAAAGCUGUGCAUCCUUGCAGGUACAGAUAAGGAGAACAGGAAGGAAUGGUAUCAUGCAGGAAGAAUGUCUAUUAGAAUCAUCCAGAGCAUGGAUUGGACUGAUGCUGAAGCUCCAGUACUUUGGCCACCUGAUGAGAAGAGCUGACUCCCUGGAGGAGACCCUGAUGCUUUGAAAGAUUGAGGGCAAGAGGAAAAGGGGGUGACAGAGGAUGAGAUAGUUGGAUGGCAUCACAGACUCAAUGGACAUGAGUUUAAGCAAAUUCCGGGAGAUAGUCAAGGACAGGGGAGCCUGAUGUGCUGCAGCCCAUGGGGUCACAAAGAGUUGGACAUGACUGAGUGACUGAACAAUAACAACAACAACGCACACAGAUUAGGAAAGUCCCAAAUUUCAAUCAUCUCUAUGGAAUGGCCUUGAAACAGCAAUGCUCAUGACUACUUAUGAAAUAUCUUCUGUGACAGACAGAUAAUAGACACUCCACCCAUCCUGUCUUAUAAAAAGUAUCUUAUUAUAAAAUGACAAACAUAUAGAAAACAAGAAUAUUAUAAAACCAUGGGUGCACAUUAGUCAUUUUCCAUUUGAUAAGGUCUUUUAAAAUGUAAUAAAAUAUUAUUGAAAUAAUUGAAUUCUCCUGUG
ensembl:lncRNA